rnacentral:rRNA from 1 species
GUCGAGCGGACAGAUGGGAGCUUGCUCCCUGAUGUUAGCGGCGGACGGGUGAGUAACACGUGGGUAACCUGCCUGUAAGACUGGGAUAACUCCGGGAAACCGGGGCUAAUACCGGAUGGUUGUUUGAACCGCAUGGUUCAAACAUAAAAGGUGGCUUCGGCUACCACUUACAGAUGGACCCGCGGCGCAUUAGCUAGUUGGUGAGGUAAUGGCUCACCAAGGCAACGAUGCGUAGCCGACCUGAGAGGGUGAUCGGCCACACUGGGACUGAGACACGGCCCAGACUCCUACGGGAGGCAGCAGUAGGGAAUCUUCCGCAAUGGACGAAAGUCUGACGGAGCAACGCCGCGUGAGUGAUGAAGGUUUUCGGAUCGUAAAGCUCUGUUGUUAGGGAAGAACAAGUACCGUUCGAAUAGGGCGGUACCUUGACGGUACCUAACCAGAAAGCCACGGCUAACUACGUGCCAGCAGCCGCGGUAAUACGUAGGUGGCAAGCGUUGUCCGGAAUUAUUGGGCGUAAAGGGCUCGCAGGCGGUUUCUUAAGUCUGAUGUGAAAGCCCCCGGCUCAACCGGGGAGGGUCAUUGGAAACUGGGGAACUUGAGUGCAGAAGAGGAGAGUGGAAUUCCACGUGUAGCGGUGAAAUGCGUAGAGAUGUGGAGGAACACCAGUGGCGAAGGCGACUCUCUGGUCUGUAACUGACGCUGAGGAGCGAAAGCGUGGGGAGCGAACAGGAUUAGAUACCCUGGUAGUCCACGCCGUAAACGAUGAGUGCUAAGUGUUAGGGGGUUUCCGCCCCUUAGUGCUGCAGCUAACGCAUUAAGCACUCCGCCUGGGGAGUACGGUCGCAAGACUGAAACUCAAAGGAAUUGAC